GUUUGAUCCUGGCUGAGGAUGAACGCUGGCGGCGUGCUUAACACAUGCAAGUCGAACGAUGAUCUCCAGCUUGCUGGGGGGAUUAGUGGCGAACGGGUGAGUAACACGUGAGUAACCUGCCCUUGACUCUGGGAUAAGCCUGGGAAACUGGGUCUAAUACCGGAUAUGACCAUCUGGCGCAUGUCAUGGUGGUGGAAAGCUUUUUUGUGGUUUUGGAUGGACUCGCGGCCUAUCAGCUUGUUGGUGGGGUAAUGGCCUACCAAGGCGACGACGGGUAGCCGGCCUGAGAGGGUGACCGGCCACACUGGGACUGAGACACGGCCCAGACUCCUACGGGAGGCAGCAGUGGGGAAUAUUGCACAAUGGGCGCAAGCCUGAUGCAGCGACGCCGCGUGAGGGAUGACGGCCUUCGGGUUGUAAACCUCUUUCAGUAGGGAAGAAGCGUAAGUGACGGUACCUGCAGAAGAAGCGCCGGCUAACUACGUGCCAGCAGCCGCGGUAAUACGUAGGGCGCAAGCGUUAUCCGGAAUUAUUGGGCGUAAAGAGCUCGUAGGCGGUUUGUCGCGUCUGCUGUGAAAGACCGGGGCUCAACUCCGGUUCUGCAGUGGGUACGGGCAGACUAGAGUGCAG
rnacentral:rRNA from 1 species